UGCUAGUUGCAGUCGACGGGAGCUUCGGCUCCAGUGGCGAACGGUCGCGUAACACGUAGACAACCUGCCUCCAGGUGGGGGAUAACUCCGGGAAACUGGAGCUAAUACCGCAUGUGGCGGGAGAAGGCAUCUUCUCUCUGCUAAAGGAGCAAUCCGCCUAGAGAGGGGUCUGCGGCCUAUCAGGUAGUUGGUGAGGUAACGGCCCACCAAGCCGACGACGGGUAGCUGGUCUGAGAGGAUGAUCAGCCGGACGGGGACUGAGACACGGCCCCGACUCCUUCGGGAGGCAGCAAUGAGGGAUAUUGCGCAAUGGGGGAAACCCUGACGCAGCGACGCCGCGUGGGUGAGGAAGUCCUUCGGGAUGUAAAGCCCUUUUGACCGGGAUGAUCAUGACAGUACCGGUCGAAUAAGCCCCGGCUAACUACGUGCCAGCAGCCGCGGUAAUACGUAGGGGGCAAGCGUUGUCCGGAUUUACUGGGCGUAAAGCGCGCGUAGGCGGAAGUGUAAGUCUGGCCUGAAAGCCCCCGGCUCAACCGGGGAGGGUGGCUGGAAACUGUGCUUCUUGAGGGCGAUAGAGGAGUGUGGAAUUCCUGGUGUAGCGGUGAAAUGCGUAGAGAUCAGGAGGAACACCCGUGGCGAAGGCGGCACUCUGGGUCGGCCCUGACGCUGAGGCGCGAAAGCGUGGGGAGCGAACGGGAUUAGAUACCCCGGUAGUCCACGCCGUAAACGAUGGUCACUAGGUGUGUGCGGUAUCGACCCCGCACGUGCCGUCGCUAACGCAGUAAGUGACCCGCCUGGGGAGUACGGCCGCAAGGUUGAAACUCAAAGGAAUUGACGGGGGCCCCGCACAA
rnacentral:rRNA from 1 species